rnacentral:rRNA from 1 species
AGGUAGCAUAAUCACUUGUUUCUUAAAUAGAGACUAGUAUCAACGGCAUCACGAAGACUAUACUGUCUCCUCCCUAAAAUCAAUGAAACUGAUCUCCUCGUGAAGAAGCGAGGAUAUACAUAUAAGACGAGAAGACCCCAUGGAGCUUUAAACGAACUUCAAUUGUUCCUACCAAUAACAUACAAAUUGAACACUCCAUGAUAGAUAGUUUUAGGUUGGGGUGACCGCGGAGUAAAACAAAACCUCCACAAUGAAUGUAAUAAAAUUCUUAUAAAAGAACUACAAUUCUAAUAAUCAAAAAUUUGACAUAAGUUGACCCAAACACUUGAUCAAUGAACCAAGUUACCCUGGGGAUAACAGCGCAAUCCAUUUUAAGAGCCCAUAUCGACAAAUGGGUUUACGACCUCGAUGUUG